rnacentral:rRNA from 1 species
AGGGAUUGCCCUAGUAACGGCGAGUGAAGCGGCAACAGCUCAAAUUUGAAAUCUGGCUUCGGCCCGAGUUGUAAUUUGCAGAGGAUGCUUCUGGCGCGGUGCCUUCCGAGUUCCCUGGAACGGGACGCCACAGAGGGUGAGAGCCCCGUAUGGUCGGACACCAAGCCUGUGUGAAGCUCCUUCGACGAGUCGAGUAGCUUGGGAAUGCUGCUCUAAAUGGGAGGUAAAUCUCUUCUAAAGCUAAAUACCGGCCAGAGACCGAUAGCGCACAAGUAGAGUGAUCGAAAGAUGAAAAGCACCUUGAAAAGGGGGUUAAAUAGUACGUGAAAUUGUUGAAAGGGAAGCACUUGUGACCAGACUUGGGCCGGGCGGCUCAUCAGGGGUUCUCCCCUGUGCACUCCGCCCGGCACAGGCCAGCAUCGGUUCUCGUGGGGGGAUAAGACCGUUAGGAACGUAGCACCCUCCGGGGUGUGUUAUAGCCUGGCGGACGAUACCCCCGUGGGGACCGAGGUUCGCGCUCCGCAAGGAUGCUGGCGUAAUGGUCACCAGUGACCC